UACGAAGGGGGCUAGCGUUGCUCGGAAUCACUGGGCGUAAAGCGCACGUAGGCGGAUUGCUAAGUCAGGGGUGAAAUCCUGGAGCUCAACUCCAGAACUGCCUUUGAUACUGGCGAUCUCGAGUCCGGGAGUGGUGAGUGGAACUGCGAGUGUAGAGGUGAAAUUCGUAGAUAUUCGCAAGAACACCAGUGGCGAAGGCGGCUCACUGGCCCGGUACUGACGCUGAGGUGCGAAAGCGUGGGGAGCAAACAGG
rnacentral:rRNA from 1 species